UACCAGCACCCCGAGUGGUCGGGACGUUUAUUGGGCGUAAAGAGCGUGUAGGCGGUUAUACAGGUCCGCUGUGAAAACUGGAGGCUUAACCUCCAGACGUCAGUGGAAACCGUAUGACUAGAGUCCGGAAGAGGAGAGUGGAAUUCCUGGUGUAGCGGUGAAAUGCGCAGAUAUCAGGAAGAACACCCGUGGCUAAGGCGGCUCUCUAGUACGGUACUGACGCUGAGACGCGAAAGCGUGGGGAGCGAACAGG
rnacentral:rRNA from 1 species